rfam:Ciona savignyi cont_65044, whole genome shotgun sequence.
GGUCCUGUGGCCCAAUGGAUAAGGCGCCUGACUACGAAUCAGGAGAUUCCAGGUUCGAGUCCUGGCAGGAUCG